rnacentral:rRNA from 1 species
UACGUAGGGAGCGAGCGUUAUCCGGAUUUACUGGGUGUAAAGGGCGAGUAGGCGGGCUUACAAGUCAGUUGUGAAAUCCGGGGGCUUAACCCCCGGCCUGCAAUUGAAACUGUGAGUCUUGAGUGAUGGAGAGGCAGGCGGAAUUCCCAGUGUAGCGGUGAAAUGCGUAGAUAUUGGGAGGAACACCAGUGGCGAAGGCGGCCUGCUGGACAUUAACUGACGCUGAGGCGCGAAAGCGUGGGGAGCAAAC